ACACACUGGAAGCAGUAACCUGAAGACCAGUCCGCACACCACCUCAGAGGCCAUGGCUCCGGCUAGCCUGUGUUGAAUCCAGGUAAAAGUAGCCGAGGAUUGUCACUUUAAGGUUUCUCUUGCAUCCCAAACUCCUGCGCUCUGUCAAAUCCCAGCUGACAUCAAACUGAGGCGCUCUUCCAAACGGCCACAUCAGCUCUCUCUGAUGACACCUGGACUCCGGUGGUUACUCCACAGUGAAAGAUUGCGCAUUUACCCAGGUUCACCACAGCAGGCAUGUUACCCGAGGCUACAGGACGAGCCUGUGAUUGACACCUGACUCAGCCAAUCAGAAGUCUUCGUCUGGUAGAUCUCAGCCCACUGUGAUAAUUGGAAGCAAGAGGUGGGACGCGGAGAUGGAGGCAAAUACCACAAGUAUUAAAAGAUAAACGUGUCCACA